UACGGGGGGGCGAAGCGUUGUUCGGAAUUAUCUGGGCGUAAAGGACCAGUAGGCGGCCAACUAAGUCGGAUGUGAAAUCCCCAGGCUUAACCUACGGGAACUGCAUUCGAGACUGCAUAGCUAGAGUAUGGGAGAGGGAAGUGGAAUUCAGGUGUAGCGGUGAAAUGACGUAGAUAUCUGGAGGAACACCGGUGGCGAAGGCGGCAUCUGGACCGGCAUGACGCUGAG
rnacentral:rRNA from 1 species